rnacentral:rRNA from 1 species
UGAUAGGUUAAGAGCUAAUUGACUGGACGUUACCCACAGAAGAAGCACCGGCUAACUCCGUGCCAGCAGCCGCGGUAAUACGGAGGGUGCAAGCGUUAAUCGGAAUUACUGGGCGUAAAGAGUGCGUAGGUGGUUUAAUAAGUUAUGUGUGAAAUCCCUGGGCUCAACCCUGGGCAGGUCAUAUAAUACUGUUAGACUCGAGUAUGGGAGAGGGUAGUGGAAUUUCCGGUGUAGCGGUGAAAUGCGUAGAGAUCGGAAGGAACACCAGUGGCGAAGGCGGCUACCUGGCCUAAUACUGACACUGAGGCACGAAAGCGUGGGGAGCAAACAGGAUUAGAUAGCCCUGGUAGUCCACGCCGUAAACGAUGUCAACUAGCUGUUGGUUAUAUGAAAAUAAUUAGUGGCGCAGCAACAGCGAUAAGUUGACAUA